rnacentral:rRNA from 1 species
CUUCUGGAUGAGUUGCGAACGGGUGAGUAACGCGUAGGUAACCUGCCUGGUAGCGGGGGAUAACUAUUGGAAACGAUAGCUAAUACCGCAUAACAGUAGAUGUUGCAUGACAUUUACUUAAAAGGUGCAAUUGCAUCACUACCAGAUGGACCUGCGUUGUAUUAGCUAGUUGGUGGGGUAACGGCUCACCAAGGCGACGAUACAUAGCCGACCUGAGAGGGUGAUCGGCCACACUGGGACUGAGACACGGCCCAGACUCCUACGGGAGGCAGCAGUAGGGAAUCUUCGGCAAUGGACGGAAGUCUGACCGAGCAACGCCGCGUGAGUGAA